rnacentral:rRNA from 1 species
GACGAACGCUGGCGGCGUGCCUAACACAUGCAAGUCGAACGGAAAGGCCCUGCUUUUGUGGGGUGCUCGAGUGGCGAACGGGUGAGUAACACGUGAGUAACCUGCCCUUGACUUUGGGAUAACUUCAGGAAACUGGGGCUAAUACCGGAUAGGAGCUCCUGCUGCAUGGUGGGGGUUGGAAAGUUUCGGCGGUUGGGGCUGGACUCGCGGCUUAUCAGCUUGUUGGUGGGGUAGUGGCUUACCAAGGCUUUGACGGGUAGCCGGCCUGAGAGGGUGACCGGCCACAUUGGGACUGAGAUACGGCCCAGACUCCUACGGGAGGCAGCAGGGGGGAAUAUUGCACAAUGGGCGGAAGCCUGAUGCAGCAACGCCGCGUGCGGGAUGACGGCCUUCGGGUUGUAAACCGCUUUCGCCUGUGACGAAGCGUGAGUGACGGUAAUGGGUAAAGAAGCACCGGCUAACUACGUG